GUCAUGGUUUGUGUUCUACGCCCAGCCAUCCUCCUGUCUCGCUGUAAGCCACCUUGCUCACUCUGUGCCAGAGUUUGCCCAGUCCAGGAUAAUACCACCUAACUUGCAGACCUAGGAGACAUGGUGGAACGACAGGAGGGACAGAGCUGAAACCCGACUGCAGCCGAUUUUCCCGAGAUUACUCCAGAUGUUCUAACAUGCAUGAACCCCCCCCCCGCCCCACCCAAUCCCACUUUCCUAGCAAGUUCAGCCUGAUCACGGCGAAGAAUCCCCAUUGGCACUGGGUUAUUUUAACGGCAUGCUACUGGAAAUCAAACGGUCAGAUCUCCUGCCCCCACCGACCCGGCAAGACAAAAAUAAAAUCACUCAAUAAUAGCAAAAAUGUGCACGUCCUCCCCCAAGGAUCUCCAAGCAUGUUACAAGCUGGAAGUCACCCCACAAUCCUUGUGAAGUAGACAGGGGAGAUGUAAGGAUCAUUGGAUCCCCUCUCUGAAAGGCAGGCAACUCUGGAGCGAGAAACACAGUGGGUUAGGCACCAAGUCAAGAAGAAACCCUAUAUCCAACCGAACAGCCCAGCGGAAUUUAUACACCAGGGUCAACACUCCCUAAUCUCCUGGAGAAGUACUAUGAGAGCUGUAAUGAUGGUAAGUUGUCAGCACUUGGGUUUAAUGUCUCCUGUGAAACAACCCCAUAUUGCACUAAUGUGCCAGGCAGGACCUAUUUUGUUUGGUCAAACAAAUGGCCAACUAGUCCUCUGCCACUUGAACUGAAGGAGUAAUUCCAUGACAACAGCAGUAGGCUGUUACCUUCUUAGUGCACUAGCCACCAGAGGGGAAUGCAGCAGAAUACAUUUUAUGACCAUCUACAUUUACUUACAGUCUUUGAUUGGACUGUAUGGCUCUCCCAAAAUGGAGAAUUUUUCAGCGCAUGUGGAACUCUGUUUUUAUUACAUUUUGAUCACCCGAUUUCUUUCACCCUGAAGCUUCUUAUCUUGGAUCUCUCCCAUUAGCAACAAUCCUGGCACAGAAUAUUCAGUAAAUCAGGCUGUUCUUGAGAACUAAUCAUGCAGAGCAGAACUGGGAGGCAAAGCAUACUGGGUAAGGAGAUGCAAAUUGCCAGCUAAGCAGUUAUUGGAGUCAAGUGCCAACAACAUGGUGUUUACAUGGGUAAACCCAGCUGAACUCCAUGCAACUCACAAAGGAAACAAUACCCAGUGAUUUCAACUGCAAUACCCUCCCAGUGAACCACAAAUCCAGGGUCUUGCAUGAGGGAUCAUUAACAGUAAGAUGAGCACAUGCCCCGGAAUUCUACUCAUUGCAGUAUCUUAGCACCUUCCAGAAGUGCAUUAAACAAGAAUGGUGGGCAUGAAAUCCAAGGUGACUAUUAGCACAUUUUAGGCAUCCUCUGUCCUGUGCCACCCAUUUCAACCAUUGGCUCAUAGAAGGAGGGAUUCAGUUCAGCACUUCGGAUCUGGGAUGACCACAUGAUGAUGACAAUCUCGAACUUCCAGGGCUCCAAUAGAAGCAAUGAUUGGCUCUCUGGAAAUGGCUGGGGAGCACAAGAAAAAUUCAAGCGAGGGGCUGCUGGUUGCAUCUCUCACCGUGGUGAAAUAUUACUAGCUACAUUUUCAAAUGCCUAGCUUGGACUGGCAAAAUUUGCACCCACAUCCAUCCCGUCCACCCCCCUGCAGUUGCAGGUGGAAACAGGUUUUCCAAUUUUCCAAUGCAUAGACUGGGAAAAUGCACUUGCCAGUGAGAACUUAGGUGCACCGUUACCCAAUUUGUGUGCAGUGAGGCACAGCAGGUGCCCACCUUUCAAAAUGUAGCCAUGAGGGCAGAUUUUCAUAAGAGGUAUUUACAGGUAUAAGCAGCGCAAUGGCCUCAGGGGGUGAUUUUGUCAUGUCUGACACUGCUGGGUUCUUUAGCCCUGUUACUGUGAUCCAGUCAAGGACUGUUGUUUUACUUCAUACAGUGUCUGUUAUAAAGCUGUCUCAGAUACAAGGCUGUUUGCUGCA